GACGAACGCUGGCGGCGUGCUUAACACAUGCAAGUCGAACGGAAAGGCCCUGCUUUUGUGGGGUGCUCGAGUGGCGAACGGGUGAGUAACACGUGAGUAACCUGCCCUUGACUUUGGGAUAACUUCAGGAAACUGGGGCUAAUACCGGAUAGGAGCUCCUGCUGCAUGGUGGGGGUGGGAAAGUUUCGGCGGUUGGGGAUGGACUCGCGGCUUAUCAGCUUGUUGGUGGGGUAGUGGCUUACCAAGGCUUUGACGGGUAGCCGGCCUGAGAGGGUGACCGGCCACAUUGGGACUGAGAUACGGCCCAGACUCCUACGGGAGGCAGCAGUGGGGAAUAUUGCACAAUGGGCGGAAGCCUGAUGCAGCAACGCCGCGUGCGGGAUGACGGCCUUCGGGUUGUAAACCGCUUUCGCCUGUGACGAAGCGUGAGUGACGGUAAUGGGUAAAGAAGCUCCGGCUAACUACGUG
rnacentral:rRNA from 1 species